AUGUAGCCCCGAUAGAACUGGAAAUCCUUUUGUUUGCGCCCCGGCGGAUACAAAAGAUUGUAAGGGAUAGCGGGACAAAAG
rnacentral:sRNA from 1 species